UGCCUGGCUCCCUGUAUG
rnacentral:siRNA from 1 species